rnacentral:lncRNA from 1 species
UGAGAAUAAGUCUUUUUUUUUUCUUUGAGAGAAAGAUAACAUGCUAUUUGAUUCGUUUAUUACUUUUUAGAAAUAAGUUCAGUUGGAAAUGUGAAGCAAUUAGACUUCGAACUUACCCAAGAAUAAUCAUAAUCAUCCAAAAGCAAUAGUAGGAAAAGAUUUAAAGAUUUUGCAGCAACUGUGGAAGGAGAGAUGAUUUGCACCGGUCUGCACAGUGUGUGUGCAGCGCAAGUAGUUCAUAUAUGUCU